rnacentral:tRNA from 1 species
AGGCACUUAGCCAAGCGGUAAGGCAACUGGCUCUGACCCAGUCAUUCAUAGGUUCGAAUCCUAUAGUGCCUGCCA